CAAUAGAAGGCUCGUUGCCGAGAAUAGGCAAGGACCAGCGAUGAGUGAGGCUGCCUCCGGUCCCUCGAAAACCAAUGACGACGAUAGGCUACCCUCUACUAUCGAGCCCUAUAUAAGUCGGCCAAACCUACCGCCAGCACAUUGUCCUAUCCGUUAAUCAAAUGGACAGAUAAAACCUCGGUUUGCCGACACUACAUAUUCACGAAACCGAUCGAACACAUAGAUCGGAAGCCCGAGACACACUCGGAAAAGAAUGAAAAGAACAACUGUUGGAACUCUGAACCUCUGAAACACCUGAUAAAAUACGAAUUAUUCUACCGGCAUACGUAGUACGACUACGUCUCCGGCCCCUUCGGGGGG
rnacentral:rRNA from 1 species